rfam:Orientia tsutsugamushi str. Gilliam got.contig.21_1, whole genome shotgun sequence.
UAUGUUGUUCUACCAACAAGAAGUCUAAUGGUACAUGCAAUGGAGGAAGUAACCCUAUGUAUGAAGCUAUCAGGACAAUACAUUAAUGGUUUAAGAAAAUUAACUAACUAGAAGAAAUAAGCUAGAGUAAGAGUUAUUGUGAGC